AAGGAUCAUUACUGAAUGAUAAUUUCAACACUUGUGAAUUAUAAAUUAAUUUGUUUGGGUGUUUUUCGAAAGAGAAAUGCCCAAAGAUUUUUUAAAAAACACUUAUUUUAAACCAAUAUCUGAGAAAAUUUUAAUAAAUAAAUUAAAACUUUCAACAACGGAUCUCUUGGUUCUC
rnacentral:misc_RNA from 1 species